rnacentral:piRNA from 1 species
UUCUGAAUCAAACUUCUGAAU